rnacentral:piRNA from 1 species
AAAGGCCACGUUGACUCAGGUAUAAACACA